ensembl:rRNA 5S_rRNA 5S ribosomal RNA
GUCUACGGCCAUGUCACCCUGAACGUGCCCGAUCUCGUCUGAUCUCAGAAGCUAAGCAGGGUCAGGCCUGGUUAGUACUAGGAUGGGAGAUGUUUGCAGAUGCUUUGCUUCAGUUU